GACGAACGCUGGCGGCGUGCUUAACACAUGCAAGUCGAACGGACAGGCCCGGCUUUUGUGGGUUUCUCGAUUGGCGAACGGGUGAGUAACACGUGAGUAACCUGUCCUUGACUUUGGGAUAACUUCAGGAAACUGGGGCGAAUACCGCAUAGGAUCUCCUGCUGCGUGGUGGGGGUUGGUAAGUUUCGGCGGUUGGGGAUGUACUCGCUGCUUAUCAGCUUGUUAGUCUGGUAGUGGCUUACCAAGGCUUUGACGGGUAGCCGGCCUGAGAGGGUGGCCGGGCACAUUGGGACUGAGGUACGGACCAGAAGCGUACGGGAGGCAGCAGGGGAGAGUAUUGCAGAAUGAGCGGAAGUCUGAUGCAGAAACGCCGCGUGCGGGAUGACGGGCUACGGGGUGUGAACAGAUUUGGCCGGAAACGAGGCGGGAGUGACGGUAAUGGGUAAGGAAGCAACGGCUAACUACGUG
rnacentral:rRNA from 1 species